GGAAGUACAAAUAUCACCUCUUCAGGCUGUGGCUGAGCGGCUCUCCCCUUGAAGCGGAAGAGUGAGGGAACCAGCAUAUUUUUCAGUCCUAAAAUGACGUCGUUUGCGUUGUGCCCUCCGAUUUCCGUGCUAGGCUGUUCUUCCUCUAUCUCUCGGGUUUCCUUCCCAACUCGGCUAAACUCGCAUUUUCAUAAAAGCUAUUGUAAAUUUCAAGUCAAGUGCAGCUAUGCAGAGCCAAAUUUAAAGGAUGAUUACAAAUCUGCUGCAAUUGAUGUUGUUGCUGAUAUAAAGACUGAAAGGGUUGUAGUCCUAGGAGGAAAUGGGUUUGUUGGUUCUGCGAUAUGCAAGGCUGCUGUGUCUAAGGGUAUAGAGGUUAUAAGCCUAAACAGGUCAGGACGCCCGACUUACCCUGAUUCAUGGGUAGAUCAGGUUACUUGGAUAUCAGGAGAUGUUUUCUAUGCAAACUGGGAUGAAGUUCUAGUUGGGGCCACUGCUGUGGUUUCAACCCUUGGAGGUUUAGGCAGUGAAGAACAGAUGCUGAGGAUUAAUGGUGAGGCUAAUGUUGCUGCAGUGAAUGCUGCAAAGGAAUUUGGAAUUCCUAAGUUUAUCUUGAUAUCAGUGCAUGACUACAAUCUACCAUCAUUUUUACUCUCUUCUGGAUACUUCACAGGAAAGAGGAAAGCAGAGUCAGAGGUUCUUUCCAAAUAUCCAAACUCUGGUAUUUCUUCUUAGCAUUGCCUUUUUUACUCUGGUCAUGUGACAGUUUUUCAGAUGCGUGCUUGUCACAUAUAAUGGUGCUGAAUUGUUUUGACCCUGGUCCCUUUCAUGUGAAAAUGAAUUAAAUAGGUAUCAAUGCAAAUAAUUGUCUCGAAAGUAUAUUAGCUUAUUACAAUCAUAUGCAUUUUAAUAUUCCAGUAGGAUGAUCAUGAUUUCUAAAAUAAACCAAUGAACUAAAAGAGUGUAUUAAGCAAAGGAGACCGAUGGACAUUAACUUGUGUUUGCUGUAUGUUAAUCAUGAUAACCUUGUAUAGUGUCUCUAAAGUGGCCAACUGCUUGUAAAUUAUUAAGCAAGAACUUAGGAAGGAGAAUCAGUAAUAUUAUUACUGGGAUAAAAAUUAUUUGAGUAGGAGAGAUUUAUAUUAUGCCCAACCCAUCCCCGAGGAAAAAAAAAAAAAAAACUCUUGUAACUGCCAUAUCAUUGUCACACAAUGCAAUGCUCUCUCAGGUGUGGUGUUAAGACCUGGUUUCAUCUAUGGAAAAAGGAGAGUUGAUGGUUUUGAGAUUCCCUUGGAUUUAGUUGGGCAGCCAUUGGAGAGAAUUCUUCGAGCUACUGAGAACUUCACCAAGGCAUUUAGUUCUCUACCAGCGUCUGAUCUCCUCUUGGCACCACCAGUUAAUGUUGAUGAUGUCGCACUUGCAGUGAUAAAUGCAGUAACAGAUGAUGACUUCUUUGGCAUCUUUACAAUAGAGCAAAUUAAGGAAGCUGCACAAAAAGUAAAAGUAUAAUUAGUCUCAGUAAAUUGAAGUAGCAGUUAGUCUGAGUUCUGGGUAACAAAUGUCUUGUGAAGGCUUAGUUUGAUGACACUCGAAAUAAUAAUGCCAGUGAUCUCAUCUCUUCUAUCAUUAUCAUCGUCUUCUCUUUAAUGUGAUUGACCAACGCCUGGCAGUUCCUCGACAUAAGGUUGCUGAAGGAGUGAUCCAUAUUGCAAAGCUUGCAUUUGCAUGCCUGAGUGCCAAUCCUCAAUCUUGACCAACAAUGAGGUUGCUUACAGCCACCUUUUGCAAAUCCAGCAUCCGAAAUAGAAUUAGAGUGGUUCACAAUGCUGUCACUCGCUAAGCCUCUAGGAAAAAGUGUUUUUAUGUGUUCACUUGUAAUAUUUUCUUUUCAUUAUUGGAGUUUCUGUCUUGUUCCACGGGCUUAAUUUGAUCGUUAUAUGGCUGUCUAUUAGAUAACUUAUGACGUCCAAACAACAUAUCCUUCUCUAUCAUUAUCCAAAAGCCUAUUGUUGCUCUAAUUGGUUAGAUUAUAUAUAUUAAAACAUUUUUCUUGAUUAAAUUUCUAGCAAAGAUAUAAAAUUUGAAAAGAGAAAAAGCACCUAAAUUUUAAUUUAUAACACAAAAUCUCUGAUCUUUAAGUAACGUAAAAAAAACCUAGCGAUAUU
rnacentral:misc_RNA from 1 species